GUGCUCGCUUCGGCAGCACAUAUACUAAAAUUGCAAUGAUACAGGGAGGAUUAAAAUUGCAAUGAUACAGGGAGGAUUAAAAUUGCAAUGAUACAGGGAGGAUUAAAAUUGCAAUGAUACAGGGAGGAUUAAGCAUGGCCCCUGCGAAAGGAUGACGUGCAAAUUCGUGAAGCACAAAGAGAGAGA
rnacentral:snRNA from 1 species